UACGUAGGGGGCAAGCGUUGUCCGGAAUCAUUGGGCGUAAAGAGCGCGUAGGCGGCCCUGUAAGUCCGCUGUGAAAGUCAAGGGCUCAACCCUUGGAUGCCGGUGGAUACUGCAGGGCUAGAGUCCGGAAGAGGCGAGUGGAAUUCCUGGUGUAGCGGUGAAAUGCGCAGAUAUCAGGAGGAACACAGAUGGCGAAGGCAGCUCGCUGGGACGGUACUGACGCUGAGGCGCGAAAGCGUGGGGAGCAAACAGG
rnacentral:rRNA from 1 species